AACGAACGCUGGCGGCAGGCCUAACACAUGCAAGUCGAACGCCGUAGCAAUACGGAGUGGCAGACGGGUGAGUAACACGUGGGAACGUACCCUUUGGUUCGGAAUAACUUGAGGAAACUUGAGCUAAUACCGGAUACGUCCGAGAGGAGAAAGAUUUAUCGCCGAAGGAUCGGCCCGCGUCUGAUUAGCUUGUUGGUGAGGUAACGGCUCACCAAGGCGACGAUCAGUAGCUGGUCUGAGAGGAUGAUCAGCCACAUUGGGACUGAGACACGGCCCAAACUCCUACGGGAGGCAGCAGUGGGGAAUAUUGGACAAUGGGGGCAACCCUGAUCCAGCCAUGCCGCGUGAGUGAUGAAGGCCUUAGGGUUGUAAAGCUCUUUUACCUGGGAAGAUAAUGACGGUACCAGGAGAAUAAGCCCCGGCUAACUUCGUG
rnacentral:rRNA from 1 species